GAUGAACGCUGGCGGCGUGCCUAAUACAUGCAAGUCGAGCGAACAGACGAGGAGCUUGCUCCUCUGACGUUAGCGGCGGACGGGUGAGUAACACGUGGAUACCCUACCUAUAAGACUGGGAUAACUUCGGGACACCGGCGCUAAUACCGGAUAAUAUAUUGAACCGCAUGGUGCAAUAGUGAAAGACGGUUUUGCUGUCACUUAUAGAUGGAUCCGCGCCGCAUUAGCUAGUUGGUAAGGUAACGGCUUACCAAGGCAACGAUGCGUAGCCGACCUGAGAGGGUGAUCAGCCACACUGGGACUGAGACACGGUCCAGACUCCUACGGGAGGCAGCAGUAGGGAAUCUUCCGCAAUGGGCGAAAGCCUGACGGAGCAACGCCGCGUGAGUGAUGAAGGUCUUCGGAUCGUAAAGCUCUGUUAUUAGGGAAGAACAAAUGUGUAAGUAACUAUGCACGUCUGGACGGUACCUAGUCAGAAAGCCACGGCUUACUACGUG
rnacentral:rRNA from 1 species